rnacentral:tRNA from 1 species
AAUUUAUUAGUUUUUAGUGUUAUAGCACGUUAAUUUUUGAUAUUAAAAGAGAUAUUUCAAAAC